UUCCGGUUGAUCCUGCCGGACCCCACUGCUAUCGAGAUGGGACUAAGGUAUGCUAGUCGAACGACCAGAACUAUGUCUGGGAGUGGCACACUGCUCAGUAACACGUAGCUAACCUACCCUUAGGACGUGGAUACCCCCGAGAAAUUGGGGUUAAUCCGCGAUAGAUGUAAUGUCCUGGAAUGGUAUUACGUCCAAAGGUAUCCCAUACAUGUUUGGUAUACGCCUAAGGAUGGGGCUGCGGCCGAUCAGGCUGUUGGUGAGGUAAUGGCUCACCAAACCUUUGACCGGUAUGGGCCAUGAGAGUGGUAGCCCAGAGAUGGACACUGAGACAAGGGUCCAGGCCCUACGGGGCGCAGCAGGCGCGAAACCUCCUCAAUGCACUAACGUGCGAAGGGGUUACCUCGAGUGCCACCUGAAGAAGGUGGCUUUUCCUUGGUCUAAAAAGCCUAGGGAAUAAGAGGGGGGCAAGACUGGUGUCAGCCGCCGCGGUAACACCAGCCCCUCGAGUGGUGGGGAUGAUUAUUUG
rnacentral:rRNA from 1 species